UGCUGCUGGCGCUCGCGCUGG
rnacentral:misc_RNA from 1 species